UCGUGGGUAAAGUGUCACUGCACUACCGCGUUUUAUAAGCAUAAAUAUAAUGCAGAAUGUGCGUUAUGACAGAAUUAUUAAGUCACAUGGAUAAAACCCCCCACAACGGUCCACCGUGCCACUGAGUCCGCGUCCGUUUCUGCUCAGACAGUUUCCGCGUUUCACACGAAGCGGAUCAUUUCCUGUCUGUAAAUGAAAGUGAAAGUGAUUUAAAGCUGGAAUCGCCAUUUUGUCAAGAAACACGAAUAAGACUCUGGAAAAAAAUAAAGAUAUUUUUAUUGCAAGGAACCAGCAGGAAUCAUCUGGUUUGGAUCGUCACGAAAAUGGAGGAAGCUGCUUCUGAAAUGCGCCCCCUUGUGGAGUGUAACAGAAAGAGCACUGAGAGUGUCCUGAUGAAGAGAGCAGACUCCCCUGUACCCAG